CAGUAGCCGCGGUAAUACGAAGGGGGCUAGCGUUGCUCGGGAUGACUGGGCGUAAAGGGCGCGUAGGCGGCGAUCAAAGUCAGGCGUGAAAUUCCUGGGCUCAACCUGGGGGCUGCGCUUGAUACUUGGUUGCUUGAGUGGGGAAGAGGGUCGUGGAAUUCCCAGUGUAGAGGUGAAAUUCGUAGAUAUUGGGAAGAACACCGGUGGCGAAGGCGGCGACCUGGUCCUUGGCUGACGCUGAGGCGCGAAAGCGUGGGGAGCAAACAGGAUUAGAUACCCCCGUAGUCCCUGUCUCUUAUAC
rnacentral:rRNA from 1 species